rnacentral:rRNA from 1 species
GACGAACGCUGGCGGCGUGCUUAACACAUGCAAGUCGAACGGAAAGGCCCUGCCUUUGUGGGGUGCUCGAGUGGCGAACGGGUGAGUAACACGUGAGUAACCUGCCCUUGACUUUGGGAUAACUUCAGGAAACUGGGGCUAAUACCGGAUAGGAGCUCCUGCUGCAUGGUGGGGGUUGGAAAGUUUCGGUGGUUGGGGAUGGACUCGCGGCUUAUCAGCUUGUUGGUGGGGUAGUGGCUUACCAAGGCUUUGACGGGUAGCCGGCCUGUGAAGGUGACCGGCCACACUGGGCCAGAGGGGAGGCCCAAAGAGAGACGGGGGGCAGCGGGGGGAAAGCUUGCCGGAGGGGCGGAGCGCGGGUGCAGCAGCGCCGCGUGCGGGAUAACGGCCUUCGGAGGGUAAACCGCUUGCGUCUGUAACGAUGCGUGUGUGACGGUAACGGAUAAAGAAGGCCCGGCUAACUACGUG